CAGUCGCCACGGUAAUACGUAGGUGGCAAGCGUUGUCCGGAAUUAUUGGGCGUAAAGGGCUCGCAGGCGGUUUCUUAAGUCUGAUGUGAAAGCCCCCGGCUCAACCGGGGAGGGUCAUUGGAAACUGGGAAACUUGAGUGCGGAAGAGGAGAGUGGAAUUCCACGUGUAGCGGUGAAAUGCGUAGAGAUGUGGAGGAACACCAGUGGCGAAGGCGACUCUCUGGUCUGUAACUGACGCUGAGGAGCGAAAGCGUGGGGAGCGAACAGGAUUAGAUACCCCCGUAGUCCCUGUCUCUUAUAC
rnacentral:rRNA from 1 species